rnacentral:rRNA from 1 species
GAUGAACGCUGGCGGCGUGCUUAACACAUGCAAGUCGAACGGAAAGGCCCAAGCUUGCUUGGGUACUCGAGUGGCGAACGGGUGAGUAACACGUGGGUGAUCUGCCCUGCACUUCGGGAUAAGCCUGGGAAACUGGGUCUAAUACCGGAUAGGACCACAUUUUGGAUGGUGUGGUGGAAAGUUUUUCGGUGUGGGAUGAGCUCGCGGCCUAUCAGCUUGUUGGUGGGGUAAUGGCCUACCAAGGCGUCGACGGGUAGCCGGCCUGAGAGGGUGUACGGCCACAUUGGGACUGAGAUACGGCCCAGACUCCUACGGGAGGCAGCAGUGGGGAAUAUUGCACAAUGGGCGCAAGCCUGAUGCAGCGACGCCGCGUGGGGGAUGACGGCCUUCGGGUUGUAAACUCCCUUCGCUAGGGACGAAGCGCAAGUGACGGUACCUGGAGAAGAAGCACCGGCUAACUACGUG